GAUGAACGCUGGCGGCAUGCCUAACACAUGCAAGUCGAGCGAACGGACGGGGAGUUUUCUUGUCUGCUGUUACCGGCGGGCGGGUGAUUCACACGUGUAUGACCUACCUUUAGGACUGGGGUACUUACACGGGACCGGAUCUAAUACCCGAUAAUAUUUUGAACCUCAUGGUUCAAAAGUGAAAAACGGUCUUGCUGAGACUAAUAGAUGGAUCCGGGUUGGAUUAGCUAGUUGGUAAGGUAACGGCUUACCAAGGCUACGAUGCUUAGCCGACCUGAGAGGGUGAUCGGCCACACUGGAACUGAGACACGGUCCAGACUCCUACGGGAGGCAGCAGUAGGGAAUCUUACGCAAUGGGCGAAAGCCUGAUGGAGCAAUGCCGCGUGAGUGAUGAAGGUCUUCGGAUGGUAAAGCUCUGUAAGUAGGGAGGAAGAAAAGUGCAUUUAACCGUGAAGAUCUUGACGGUACCAAGAGAAUAAGCACCGGCUAACUCCGUG
rnacentral:rRNA from 1 species